rnacentral:rRNA from 1 species
GUAAAGGCAUAAGGGAGCUUGACUGCGAGACCUACAAGUCGAGCAGGGUCGAAAGACGGACUUAGUGAUCCGGUGGUUCCGCAUGGAAGGGCCAUCGCUCAACGGAUAAAAGCUACCCCGGGGAUAACAGGCUUAUCUCCCCCAAGAGUUCACAUCGACGGGGAGGUUUGGCACCUCGAUGUCGGCUCAUCGCAUCCUGGGGCUGUAGUCGGUCCCAAGGGUUGGGCUGUUCGCCCAUUAAAGCGGUACGCGAGCUGGGUUCAGAACGUCGUGAGACAGUUCGGUCCCUAUCCGUCGUGGGCGUAGGAAAUUUGAGAGGAGCUGUCCUUAGUACGAGAGGACCGGGAUGGACAUACCUCUGGUGUACCAGUUGUCGUGCCAACGGCAUAGCUGGGUAGCUAUGUGUGGACGGGAUAAGUGCUGAAAGCAUCUAAGCAUGAAGCCCCCCUCAAGAUGAGAUUUCCCAACUUCGGUUAUAAGAUCCCUCAAAGAUGAUGAGGUUAAUAGGUUCGAGGUGGAAGCAUGGUGACAUGUGGAGCUGACGAAUACUAAUCGAUCGAAGACUUAAUCAAAA